AGAGUUUGAUCCUGGCUCAGAGCGAAGGCGGCGUGCUUAACACAUGCAAGUCGAACGCGCAGCAUUCUGUAGCAAUACAGGGUGUGGGCGCGUGGCGAACGGGUGCGUAACACGUGGAUAACCUUCCUUGAGGUGGGGAAUAACCCAGUGAAAAUUGGGCUAAUACCGCAUAACAUCGCGAUGGCACAUGCUGUUGCGAUCAAAGGCGCAAGUCGCCACAAGAGGGAUCCGCGGCCGAUUAGCUUGUUGGCGAGGUAAUGGCUCACCAAGGCAAUGAUCGGUAGCCGGACUGAGAGGUUGGCCGGCCACACUGGAACUGAGACACGGUCCAGACUCCUACGGGAGGCAGCAGUGGGGAAUCUUGCACAAUGGACGAAAGUCUGAUGCAGCAACGCCGCGUGGGGGAUGAAGCUUCUCGGAGUGUAAACCCCUUUCGACCCGGAAGAAUGCCCGCAAGGGUAUGACGGUACGGGUAUAAGAAGCCCCGGCUAACUACGUGCCAGCAGCCGCGGUAAUACGUAGGGGGCCAGCGUUGCUCGGAAUUACUGGGCGUAAAGGGUCCGUAGGCGGUGUAGCAAGUCGAUAGUGAAAUCUCUGGGCUUAACCCAGAGGCUGCUAACGAAACUGCUGUGCUAGAGUGUGAGAGAGGCGAGUGGAAUUACGGGUGUAGCGGUGAAAUGCGUAGAUAUCCGUAGGAACAUCCGAGGCGAAGGCGGCUCGCUGGAUCACAACUGACGCUGAGGGACGAAAGCUAGGGGAGCAAACAGGAUUAGAUACCCUAGUAGUCC
rnacentral:rRNA from 1 species